CCUACGGGAGGCAGCAGUGAGGAAUAUUGGUCAAUGGACGAGAGUCUGAACCAGCCAAGUAGCGUGAAGGAUGACUGCCCUAUGGGUUGUAAACUUCUUUUAUAUGGGAAUAAAACGUUCCACGUGUGGGAUUUUGUAUGUACCAUAUGAAUAAGGAUCGGCUAACUCCAUGCCAGCAGCCGCGGUAAUACGGAGGAUCCGAGCGUUAUCCGGAUUUAUUGGGUUUAAAGGGAGCGUAGGUGGAUUGUUAAGUCAGUUGUGAAAGUUUGCGGCUCAACCGUAAAAUUGCAGUUGAAACUGGCAGUCUUGAGUACAGUAGAGGUGGGCGGAAUUCGUGGUGUAGCGGUGAAAUGCUUAGAUAUCACGAAGAACUCCGAUUGCGAAGGCAGUUCACUGGACUGCAACUGACACUGAGGCUCGAAAGUGUGGGUAUCAAACAGGAUUAGAUACCCGUGUAGUC
rnacentral:rRNA from 1 species